CAAUAGCGUAUAUUAAAGCUGUUGCGGUUAAAAAGCUCGUAGUUGGAUUUCUGUCAAGGACGACUGGUCCGCCCUCCGGGUGAGCACAUAGUUUGGUCUUGGCAUCUUGCUGGAAGCUGUUGCUGCACUUGGCUGUGUGGCGCAGCGUCCAGCACUUUCACUUUGAGGAAAUUGGAGUGUUUCAAGCAGGCACAUGCCUUUGGACACAGUAGCAUGGAAUAAUUAGAUUGGGCUUUUGCUCCAAUUUGUCGGUUUCUGGAGCUGAGGUGAGAAUUAAUGGGGAUUGUUGGGGGCAUCCGAAUUUAGCCGUCAGAGGUGAAAUUCUUGGAUCUGCUAAAGACGGACAACUGCGAAAGCGUUUGCCCAGGAUGUUUUCAUUGA
rnacentral:rRNA from 1 species